rnacentral:rRNA from 1 species
GACGAACGCUGGCGGCGUGCUUAACACAUGCAAGUCGAACGGUGACGGAGAGCUUGCUCUCCUGAUCAGUGGCGAACGGGUGAGUAACACGUGGGCAACCUGCCCCAGACUUCGGGAUAACGCUUCGAAAGAGGUGCUAAUACCGGAUACGAACUCCUUGGGCAUCCUUGGAGUUGGAAAGUUUUUCGGUCUGGGAUGGGCCCGCGGCCUAUCAGCUAGUUGGUGAGGUAACGGCUCACCAAGGCGACGACGGGUAGCCGGCCUGAGAGGGCGACCGGCCACACUGGGACUGAGACACGGCCCAGACUCCUACGGGAGGCAG